AUUGAACGCUGGCGGUAUGCUUAAGACAUGCAAGUCGAACGGUAACAGACCUUCGGGUGCUGACGAGUGGCGGACGGGUGAGUAACACGUGGGAAUCUACCUUGUAGUGGGGGAUAAGCCAGGGAAACUUGGACUAAUACCGCAUACGCCCCAAGGGGGAAAGGCGCAAGUCGCUAUAAGAUGAGCCCGCGUCUGAUUAGCUAGUUGGUGAGGUAAAGGCUCACCAAGGCGACGAUCAGUAGCUGGUCUGAGAGGAUGGCCAGCCACAUUGGGACUGAGACACGGCCCAGACUCCUACGGGAGGCAGCAGUCGGGAAUAUUGGACAAUGGGGGCAACCCUGAUCCAGCAAUACCGCGUGUGUGAAGAAGGCCUGCGGGUUGUAAAGCACUUUUAGUAGGGAAGAUAAUGACGUUACCUACAGAAAAAGCACCGGCUAACUCCGUGCCAGCCGCCGCCGUAAAAC
rnacentral:rRNA from 1 species